CCUACGGGUGGCAGCAGUGGGGAAUAUUGCACAAUGGGGGAAACCCUGAUGCAGCGACGCCGCGUGAGUGAAGAAGUAUUUCGGUAUGUAAAGCUCUAUCAGCAGGGAAGAAAUAGCGACCUUUGGGUCGCCAGACGGUACCUGACUAAGAAGCCCCGGCUAACUACGUGCCAGCAGCCGCGGUAAUACGUAGGGGGCAAGCGUUAUCCGGAUUUACUGGGUGUAAAGGGAGCGUAGACGGCAGCACAAGUCUGAAGUGAAAUGCCGGGGCGUAACCCCGGAACUGGUUUGGUAACUGUGCAGGUAGAGUGCAGGAGAGGUAAGUGGAAUUCCUAGUGUAGCGGUGAAAUGCGUAGAUAUUAGGAGGAACACCAGUGGCGAAGGCGGCUUACUGGACUGUAACUGACGUUGAGGCUCGAAAGCGUGGGGAGCAAACAGGAUUAGAUACCCGGGUAGUC
rnacentral:rRNA from 1 species